rnacentral:tRNA from 1 species
AGGGAUGUGGCUCAGUGGUAAAGCACUCAUCUAGCAUACCUGAGGCCCUGAGUUCAAUCCUCAGCAUUGCCC